rnacentral:rRNA from 1 species
GUAUUUGAAUUGAGUAUUCUCUGAGUGAUACAAGCAAUAAAUUAAAACUUUCAACAACGGAUCUCUUGGUUCUGGCAUCGAUGAAGAACGCAGCGAAAUGCGAUAAGUAAUGUGAAUUGCAGAAUUCAGUGAAUCAUCGAAUCUUUGAACGCACAUUGCGCCCGCCAGUAUUCUGGCGGGCAUGCCUGUUCGAGCGUCAUUUCAACCCUCAAGCCCCCGGGCUUGGUGUUGGAGAUCGGCAACUGCCCCUUGCGGGUGCGCCGUCUCCCAAAUCUAGUGGCGGUCUCGCUGUAGCUUCCUCUGCGUAGUAAUUCACCUCGCUCUGGAACGCGGCGCGGCCACGCCGUUAAACCCCCCACUUCUGAAGGUUGACCUCGGAUCAGGUAGGACUACCCGCUGAACUUAAGCAUAUCA